UACGGGGGGAGCAAGCGUUGUUCGGAUUUACUGGGCGUAAAGGGCGCGUAGGCGGUCAGCACAAGUCAGUUGUGAAAUCUCCGUGCUUAACUCGGAAAGGUCAACUGAUACUGUGCGACUAGAGUGCAGAAGGGGCAACUGGAAUUCUCGGUGUAGCGGUGAAAUGCGUAGAUAUCGAGAGGAACACCUGCGGCGAAGGCGGGUUGCUGGGCUGACACUGACGCUGAUGCGCGAAAGCCAGGGGAGCGAACGGG
rnacentral:rRNA from 1 species